rnacentral:rRNA from 1 species
UUGAUCCCUGGCUCAGGAUGAACGCUAGCGGCAGGCUUAACACAUGCAAGUCGAGGGGUAUAGGUCUUCGGACCAAGAGACCGGCGCACGGGUGCGUAACGCGUAUGCAAUCUACCUUUUGCAGAGGGAUAGCCCAGAGAAAUUUGGAUUAAUACCUCAUAGUAUAGCAGUUUCGCAUGAAACCACUAUUAAAGUCACAACGGCAAAAGAUGAGCAUGCGUCCCAUUAGCUAGUUGGUAAGGUAACGGCUUACCAAGGCUACGAUGGGUAGGGGUCCUGAGAGGGAGAUCCCCCACACUGGUACUGAGACACGGACCAGACUCCUACGGGAGGCAGCAGUGAGGAAUAUUGGACAAUGGGCGCAAGCCUGAUCCAGCCAUGCCGCGUGCAGGAUGACGGUCCUAUGGAUUGUAAACUGCUUUUGUACAGGAAGAAACACUCCCUCGUGAGGGAGCUUGACGGUACUGUAAGAAUAAGGAUCGGCUA